UGCUAGGUGGUGUAGUUGGUAACAUCGUCUCCACGGUGCCUCUUCUGAGGGUCGUUCAGUAGCGUGCUACGGAGUGAAGGAGAGUGCCGCAGGUUCGAAUCCUGCCCUGGCAA